UUACAUAUCCCCAAAUAAGGACUACUUAGGCGCUGCACCUACCUUCCCCCCCAGCUUUUAACCGGACAGGAGAGAGUCCACACUUGGUGUUUGAGCUUCCAUUGCACUGUAAUCAUCUUACAUAUAUACCUUUAUGGCCCUUAGCUGGACAGGUGAAGGGAGAUACAUACAAGGACCCUUGACAACAGACAUGUAAAUCUGGACCUGUAGCAACUGGACUCUUUCUUUUCUCCUUGGAGACUGACAUAAUCAUGGUGGAGAUGGACAUGAGUGACUCCCAUAGGACAGGCCACAUUCUGAGAGUAGGAAAAACUGCCCAAAGCUGGCAGUAAUCCUAACACGGCACACUUGCCCAUAGCCUAUGGACUAGCUAGGCCUGCAAAAUAAGCAGCUUUGGAGGGGUUGAAACCAACCUAGAGAGAGAUGACUUGACUAGAAGGUCCACAUGGACAUCUGCAGAUUCCUCAUUCCACUUUCUGAGAAAGAAAAGUUGCAUUGGUUCCAAG